CUCGUAGGCGGUUUGGUAAGUCGGGUGUGAAAUCUCCACGCUCAACGUGGAGGGGCCACUCGAUACUGCCAUGACUAGAGUCCGGUAGAGGAGUGUGGAAUUCCCGGUGUAGCGGUGAAAUGCGCAGAUAUCGGGAGGAACACCCGUAGCGAAGGCGGCACUCUGGGCCGGAACUGACGCUGAGGAGCGAAAGCGUGGGGAGCAAACA
rnacentral:rRNA from 1 species